UGCACUGGACCUCUAGUGAUUUCAUAAAAGCCUAUGCCCAGGAAUGUUGCAGUUAUCUAGUUGAGAGAUGAUGAUGGCAUGAACAAAGCCAUUGACAGUGCAAAUGGGACACAAUGAAGAGAUGUAGGACUUAACUGGAGAUAAGAGAGGAAUGACUUAACAACCAAUGAGAUUGAACACUGAGUGAGCCAAAAGGGUUGCAGACUGAGAAAGGGUUUCUCAUGAUACACUAUGAUUUCCCAUAAUACACUAUGAAUGGGUGAGGAAAGAGUAGGUCUUCAGGGGAGAGGGGCAUGGUUGAUUUGGUGUUGCUGGCUAAAUAAACAGUUUCUGUUGGCUCUUUGCUGAGUGGUCCCUCCUUCUGCUUUUCACAUUUCCCAACCCUCUCCAACUUGAAAAGCCCAGAUUAGGCCUUACCUGUUCUAAGAAGGGUUUACUAAAUGCUUCAAAAACAGUUUUUGCCUUAACUCAUUUAGAAUUAUAUCUUCUAGAGCUGGAAAGUGCCUUUGGGGUCUUCUGGGCCCUCUGGAACCUUAUCUAAGAUGGCCAUCCUCUACUUGAAUAUGUCAGGUGGCACAGGGCUCACUGUUGCAUGACUGUUUUAAAGCUCUACAGUUAGAGAAGAACUCCGUGAAGAAUCACGUUUGCCUCCCUGGCGUAUCCCCAACUGCAGAUCUCGGUGCUGUCUUCUAGAGCUUCGAACGUCACGUCGCACUCCACUUAGACAUCAUAGCCUCAGACACCUGAAGGUGCUCUCAUGUACUCCUGAAGAGCGCUGUUCCUCAGAUAUGCUUGUCUGGUUACUGUUUUUGUAUAGCACAUCCGCCCAAAACUCAGUGGCUUAAAACCAUUUGAGAAGGGCUCACAGGGGCAGUUCCAGCUCUGGUUCCAUCAUGAGGUUGCAGCUAGAUGGUAGCUGGGGCAGGCAUUUCUCUUCCUCUAGGUUCGAGGUUUCUCUAUGUGGUCUUUCUGACUUGGGCUUCCUCACCGCAUGGUGGCUAGGUUCCAAGAGGGAGCAUUUCAAGAGUACAGAGCAAGCCACAUCAUCUUUUAUAGGCCUGGAGCGUCACUUCUGCCAUAGCCACCCAAACCUUCCCAAGCCCAAGGGGAUGACUAUGUUCUCCUUAUCUCACUGGGAGAAAUGUCUAAGUUAAUAUUUUAGGAAGAUUAUGUGGGGUGGGAAAUACUUGUGUUAGUCCUUUUUGGAACAUGCAGUCUGUCACAUAAUGCAUUCUCUCAACUGUCCUAUUCAUCCUCCUCUGAAAGUGUAUUGUGUACAGUAAGGCUUAAGAAUUCAAUAGGCAGUGUUGAAUCUUGUCUCACUUAUUCAUAGCCUGGAACAAGUAGUUGAACUUGCCAAAUCUUCAAUCAGUCCACAAGUAAAUGUGGAAUGUGAACUCUUACUGCACAGGAUGUAGUACGCCUUUAUGAGUAAUGCCUUUUAUGCAAUGUUCCACUUUUUCUGAAACCUGUGUCCUCCCUCCUCUUCCGCACGUGCUUCCCCCCCCACACACACACACACCUCAGACUAUGGCUCCUCAUCUUCAGCUGCCAUAUUUGUACUAAUAACCUCAGCUGCCUGGUAUAAUUCAUAGGACACCAAGGCUAUUCCUGCCACCUACUGAGUCUUCCAGGUUCUCCCCUCUGGAAAUCUGGAUUCAGAGGGUUGUGACCCAAGAGUAUGGCCCUUGGAGUCAGACUAUCUGGUUUGAAUCCUGAGCCUUCCCUUUAUGAGCUAGAAAAUCUAUAUUAACUCUUCUUGGCCUCAAUUUCCAUAUUUGCAAAAUAGGAUAAUGGUGACUGGUUAAAGUAAAGGUACCUACUUUAUAGGGUUGUCCUGAGAAUAAAAACAUUUAAUACCUGUGAAAUUCUCAUCAUGGCAUUGUGGGUGGGGGCUGGCAUCUCCAAGAACUCAACCUGAGGGCUGUGGAGUGGCUGUAUUUUUCAUAGUCAUAGGGAGGGCCAGAACACUGCUCUGAAGCAGAGAAAUCAUGAAGCAGUUGUGCUUGGCACUUAGGAAAGAGGAACUGUUUGGGUUUCUGAAAACCUCCCAGGUUCUGUUCUAGGUCUGGCAAGGCUGAGCUGCAUUCCUGAUCCUGGGUUCAAAGGGCUGUAAGGAGCCUGGCUGACGUGGCUCAGUGGUUGGGGCAUUAAUCAAUUAUGUAUAUAUCUGUAGGUUGUGGGAGCACCAACCUCUGACAUCUAGCAAGGGGAAAUCCAAGUUUAUCCAAGAAGGAGUCAUGGACUGUACACCAUGGAUUUUAAGUGGAUGGAAUCUGGAACUUUCUAAAUUUACUCAUACCUGUAUUUUUUCCUCAUUUAGUGAAGUAAGCAUUGAAAAAAGGCUAA